GAAUUCUUCAAACCAAACUGUUCCGCCUCUUGCUUAACUUCUGGGGGUUCCACCAACUCACAACGGGCAUUGAGAGGUGAAGGCACCAUGUCUGAGGGAACUUACCAACGCCUCUGGGAGGCCUCCCACGUGACUCUCGAAGAGGUGCUGGAAAAAGAGCCAUCUGUGCUCGAACCUGUGCCCAGCCGAGAGCGGCAGAGCUUCCAGUACAGGAUCUCCGUGCUUUACCUGUACUACCUGGGGCUGCUGCGCCGCUUCAACCUGGCCUACGACCAGAUGGUACAGCCACAGAAGCGUCGGUUGCUGCGGCGCCUUCUGGACGGUGUGGCGGGACGUGUACUGGAGCUCAAGGACGAGCUAGUGCGCGUUGACCUGUGCGAGACCCACUGCCUGGACCGAGUACUGCAGGAUCUCAAGCUGACCCCGGCAGACCUGGAGGUUCCCAUCCCCAAAUAUUUUCAGCUGGAGCAGUCCAGCGCCGUGAAGGCACGUCAGCAGAUGCUGGCUGAUAUCCUGAACAGACUGGAGCCACUGGUUUCUCAGGAGAAUCUUCGAGGAUUGAGCCGGACUGCGGCUCUGAUUCUAGUGCAAAGUGCUGAGCGGGCCAGGCAAGGCCGACUACGAGCCACUUUCAUGCGAGAAAUCAGGAAAGAGGAGGAACGGGAUCGGAGGAUUUGGGAGAAUGGGCAGCAGAAAUUCAGCCGGGACCAGGGAGCCAUUGUUAUACAGAAGGAGACACCAGCCAGCAGCAGUCACCCCUGCUGCUCCCCACUAGGCCUGCAGUCACAAGGCCUGGAAAACAUCUAAGUGGCAUGUGCCCCCGACCCCAGGUGUGGAAAGGUUACCUCCAGAGAAAACGCAUUGAGCAGGAUCGACGGGUGGAGAUGGAGUUCAUUGGCAUGCUCCCUUCGCCCAACCAGACAGCACGCCUGAAUACCCUUAACCAGGCCUUCCUAGGGGAGGAGUCACGGAGGAUGCGGCAGGUGGAAAAGGAAGAGGAAUUCCAGGAAGCCAUAGGGAAGACCUACGAGUCUCUCACGGAGACCGAGGGACCCGACAUGAAGGAGAGGAUGAAGGAUCAAAUACGACAAUGGUUUAUUGAAUGCCAGUCAGUGUCCACUGCCACAGCUGACCCAAACUUCUAUACCUCAUUCCCCAACCUGUUCUCUCGUGAGACUGUCCCUUCUCUAUCAACCCUCACCUUCUCCUCAUACUCUCGGUCUAGACCUCAAGCCCUGCUGUAAGGGCCAUCUCCACACUUGGUUUCCCAUUUCCCUGAGAGAAGAGAAGGUACCAGGACAAAUCAGGAAGAGUGUCUUGAAUGAUCCCAUAGCAUUCUCACCACCUGUUCUUUCUGUCAUCCCUUAUCUCUUUCAUCCAUCUAUUCUUCCUUUCAUCUCUCCAACCACCCCAUCUCUGUGCCUAUUCUCCUAUUCAUCUAUCAGCAGUCAGUCAUCUGCCCACCCCUCCACCAUCUCUAACUGUAUUGUAUCCACCCAGUGCCCUUACUGGUCGGUUCCCUGAUUAUCCAGAUGAGGCUUCAGGUGGAUCCUACCUGAUCUUUGCAGACAAGACUCCAGAGCAGGUGAGACUAGACCUGGAAGCACAAGCCCAGGAGAGUAGAAAGAAGGACCAAGAGAAGAAAGAGAAGAAUAAGGAGAAAGAGAAGGAAAAAAAGGAGAAGAAGAAAAAGAAAGUCAAGGAAGAAAAGGUCAAGAAGGAGCCAGAAGUGAUGUUCAGAGUGCUGCCAUCCAAAUCUAUUCCUGUGAUUAAUGCUGGGCAUGAGGAAUACACAAGUGUGUGGAAGAGCCGGUAUGACAACAAGCAUCCCAGCCAGAACUUUGACUCUGAGACCCUCCGGGAGGAGAAAAGAAAGCAAGUGGAGAUGGAGAUCCGGGUACAGGUGGAUGAGCUAAUGAGACAGGAACUGAAGAAUUUGCGUCUGGCUGUGGACAGGGAGGAGACCAGACCCCUCAAGUCUCCAAAGAAAAAAGGAGGGAAGAAAAGUGGAAAGAAGAAGAAGGAAAAAGAUCUGACCCCAGACCGGUCUGUGGACUCACUGUUUGAAGAGCUUGUUAUUAUUGGCCUUAUAAAGAAGUCUGCACUAGUGACACUCAGUGACUACAUUGGUGAUUGCCUCUAUCUCGGGUCCACUCUGACUUUGGCAAACAAGAUGCCCAUGCCGUCCCUGUUUGAUAUCCGGCAGAACAUGGCGCUGUAUGGGGUUCUUCGGCUGGGCUCCCAUGAUAUACAUACCAUGGCUCCCCUUGUCCGCUCCAUUCUCCUGGUGGGACCCUCUGGCAUGGGCAAGAAGAUGUUGGUCCAAGCUGUGUGCACAGAAACUGGUGCCAACCUGUUUGACCUGUCACCUGACAACCUGAUGGGCAAAUACCCAGGAAAGAACGGAGCACAGCUACUAGUACACAUUGUCUUUAAGGUGGCCCGGCUCCUCCAGCCCUCUGUCAUCUGGAUUGGAAAUACUGAGAAAACCUUCUACAAGAAGGUCCCAAAGGAAGAAAGGACGAUGGACCCUAAAAGAAUAAAGAAAGACCUCAUGAGGGCCACAAAGCAGCUGAGCCCUGGCGACCGAGUGAUGCUGAUUGGGACCACGGAGCGCCCACAGCUGGCUGAGAUGAAGGGGCUGUGCCGGUUCUAUGAGCGUAUUCUCUUCAUUCCCAGGCCUGAUUAUGCUUCUCGCUAUGUGCUCUGGAAACGGAUGAUAGAGAGCCAAGGAAGGGGAGUACAGCUGACCUCGAGUCUGGAUGUUAGUGCCCUGGCUAGGGUGUCUGAUGGCUACACACCUAGUCAUAUUCUACAGUCUAUCCAGUCAGUGUUGACAGAACGCCGGCUCCUUCAACUUAUCAAGAAGCCACUGGUUGCCUCUGAGUUUGUGGGGCACUUGGCAAGGCUGGAUCCAGUAUACAGGGAGGAGGAGGAAUCCCUUAAGGAAUGGUUUUUCAAGACUCCACUGGGAAAAAAGAAUAUGAAAUUUACCAAGGACCAACUGGAGGCUGAGGAGGCCAGAUUGACAAAGGAGAAGAAGAAGAAAAAGUGAUGGUCUUUGCUGUGGGGUGUGAUGUGGUGAAUGGCAGGUGCCUCCAGAGUUAAGGGUGUGACAGACACAUAAAGGCCCAGGUGGCUCCUGAGGGCUCUUCUCUUG